rnacentral:lncRNA from 1 species
CUCUCUGUUUCUUGUGCGUGAAUGGACAUGUGAUCACCCCGCAUCCUGCACCAUGCCAGACCCUCACUACCAUUGUGAGUCCUGCCCUUUUGGAACUCUAUGAAAAAAUGACUAAUACACUCGUGUUAAAAGCUGCCCCUUAAGUAACACAGGAAAAGAAAUUAAAGAUUGAUUUGUUUGAAACUAUAAGUCACACGACCUAUGUAGGACUCAGUCAGCAGUUACAAGGAAUCAUACAAUAAGAUCGAAUGUCAAUAAAGUUGAACAAAGAGAUGCUUAGAAACUCUUCUGAGUUGAAACGUCAUGAAUGGAAAAACUACCUAAAUAAUCGCAGUUAGCAUGGCCACGUCUGUCUCGAGAUUUCCCCUCUCUGUCAAUCAAACAAACGAACGCAAAGCCGGUGACCAAAGCAACUUAAGGAAGAAAAGUUUAAUUUAGCUCACAGUUCCACAAGGAACUGUAAAUAAACUGAUCCAAGUUAGUCCUUGGUGAUUAAUUUCAAUUACUACAAGGCACGUUCAAGCCGUGGCUCUUAAGUUUAAUGUUUAUCCUAUUAACUCACGAUACUAAUUCAUAAUACCAAUAAUAUGAAAAAGUGCAUAUCUAAUUUUUUUCAGAUCCAGAGAUGCAAGCAUAAGGCUUUUUUUUUUUCUUUUUCUGUCUUAAUCCCUAACCUCUAGGUUUGAGACUUAGCCCAGUGGCAGACUGCUUGCCUGGUAUCACUGAACCCCAGAACCAUCAAAUAAAUAAACACAUAAAUCUUCA